rnacentral:rRNA from 1 species
UACGAAGGGGGCUAGCGUUGCUCGGAAUCACUGGGCGUAAAGCGCACGUAGGCGGACUCUUAAGUCGGUGGUGAAAUCCUGGAGCUCAACUCCAGAACUGCCUUCGAUACUGGGAGUCUCGAGUCCGGGAGAGGUGAGUGGAACUCCUAGUGUAGAGGUGGAAUUCGUAGAUAUUAGGAAGAACACCAGUGGCGAAGGCGGCUCACUGGCCCGGUACUGACGCUGAGGUGCGAAAGCGUGGGGAGCAAACAGG